UAAGGAAUAUUGGACAAUGGACGCAAGUCUGAUCCAGCCAUGCCGCGUGAAGGAUGAAUGCCCUCUGGGUUGUAAACUUCUUUUACAGGGGAAGAAAGUUAUCUUUUUCAGGAUAUUUGACGGUACCCUAUGAAUAAGCACCGGCUAACUCCGUGCCAGCAGCCGCGGUAAUACGGAGGGUGCAAGCGUUAUCCGGAUUCACUGGGUUUAAAGGGUGCGUAGGCGGGUAUGUAAGUCAGUGGUGAAAUACCGGAGCUUAACUUCGGAACUGCCAUUGAUACUAUAUAUCUUGAAUAUUGUGGAGGUAAGCGGAAUAUGUCAUGUAGCGGUGAAAUGCUUAGAGAUGACAUAGAACACCGAUUGCGAAGGCAGCUUGCUACGCAAAUAUUGACGCUGAGGCACGAAAGCGUGGGGAUCAAACAGG
rnacentral:rRNA from 1 species